rnacentral:rRNA from 1 species
AGACAGCAGUCGCCACGGUAAUACGAAGGGGGCUAGCGUUGUUCGGAAUCACUGGGCGUAAAGCGCACGUAGGCGGAUUUUUAAGUCAGGGGUGAAAUCCCGAGGCUCAACCUCGGAACUGCCUUUGAUACUGGAGAUCUUGAGUUCGGAAGAGGUUGGUGGAACAGCUAGUGUAGAGGUGAAAUUCGUAGAUAUUAGCUAGAACACCAGUGGCGAAGGCGGCCAACUGGUCCGACACUGACGCUGAGGUGCGAAAGCGUGGGGAGCAAACAGGAUUAGAUACCCCUGUAGUCCCUGUCUCUUAUAC